rnacentral:lncRNA from 1 species
UCCGAGGUCACCGUGCCUGUGUCUGUGUGUGUGUGCUGUGUGGGGACACCUGUGUCUGCACCUUUCCACCUUCCAGGUCGUGGAGCUGCUCGGCGUCCAGAAGAUCGAGGUGUAUCCAGUAGAACUGCUGCUUGUCCGGCACAGUGAUAUGGACACACCUUACACGGCUCAAUUCAGCCAUACAGAUUCCGUUGGUGAGUCUGAGGGCUGCGGCGUGAGUGGGCGUGCCCACAGGUCAGGGAUCUAAGAAUGCAUGGGGUUUGGCUGUGACAGACUGAGAAGGCAUUGGUCAGACUUCGGAGGACCAAGAAGGUAUCCGUCAAGUUGGGCACAGGCCCUGAGCGAGUGCCCUGGAGUCCUCAGGGUAUGCGAGCCGCGUCCCAGUGACUUAGAUGGUACGCCAGACGAUACUGGCUGGGGGUCUCAAGUCCUGAGUGUGGAUCGGUCAUUUGGAGACCCCCUCGAGGACACAAGGUAUUGACCGAGUGUGCAGGGUCUGUGAGGAGGAGUCAGGGUGUGAUGCUGAGAUGGGUUAUUCGGGGUUCCAGGAAGACCUCGAACGUGCUCCAUUACCCUCCACAGACCUAGUUUUGCGCACCGCCCGAGA